AUUUAGUAACUAUGUUGACUUUUCCUACACUAACAACACUAAUUUCCACAAGAGCAUCAUGAACAGAAGUGUCACAUCUAGUGGUGGCAGUGAAGUGUAGCAGAUGAUCUUGUGAAUCAAUGAAAAGUAAAGAGAACUCAGGUGCAAUGGGGUGGUGUGGGAGAACUUAGGAAGCUUGAAAACAAGUUGUGCAGCUGCAUUCUGGAUCAGUUGCAGAGG